UACGGAGGGAGCUAGCGUUGUUCGGAAUUACUGGGCGGAAAGCGCGCGUAGGCGGCUUUGUAAGUUAGAGGUGAAAGCCCGGGGCUCAACUCCGGAACUGCCUUUAAGACUGCAUCGCUUGAAUCCGGGAGAGGUGAGUGGAAUUCCGAGUGUAGAGGUGAAAUUCGUAGAUAUUCGGAAGAACACCAGUGGCGAAGGCGGCUCACUGGACCGGUAUUGACGCUGAGGUGCGAAAGCGUGGGGAGCAAACAGG
rnacentral:rRNA from 1 species